rnacentral:piRNA from 1 species
GCAGUGGGCUUGAUAGUGAUGCUUUACAUGC